rnacentral:rRNA from 1 species
GAUCCUGGCUCGGGAUGAACGCUGGCGGCGUGCUUAACACAUGCAAGUCGAGCGAAGCACUCUGCUUUGAUUCUUUCGGGAUGAAGAGCAUUGUGACUGAGCGGCGGACGGGUGAGUAACGCGUGGGUAACCUGCCUCAUACAGGGGGAUAACAGUUAGAAAUGGCUGCUAAUACCGCAUAAGACCACAGCACCGCAUGGUGUAGGGGUAAAAACUACGGUGGUAUGAGAUGGACCCG